GUCUGCAACUCGACUACAUGAAGCUGGAAUCGCUAGUAAUCGCGGAUCAGAAUGCCGCGGUGAAUACGUUCCCGGGUCUUGUACACACCGCCCGUCACACCAUGGGAGCCGGAAAUGCCCGAAGUCUGUGACUCAACCGAGAGGGGAGAGCAGCCGAAGGUGGAGCUGGUAACUGGGGUGAAGUCGUAACAAGGUAUC
rnacentral:rRNA from 1 species